AUGGAGGAGGAACUGCAGCAGCUCAGAGAGCUAGUGGCACAGCUUAGAACAGAUAACGAGCAGCUGUCUCGAGCGAGAGAUGCUUCCCAGGCCGGUCCCAGUAGGGCUGACCCCGCUCCUGUUGCUCCGGCUGCUGGUGCCAGCUCCAGGGUCACUGAACGGCUGGUUGUCAUACCUAGAGAUCGUAGAUGUCCCAUGUUCAAUGGCAGAACAGGUGUAGGCUUAGCUGAGUGGAAAGAGGAGCUACAGGUGUGUAUGCGUGCCCGCCACCUGUCUGUUCGUGAUCAGGCUUUCUUCAUCUUUGACCACCUAGAAGGGGAGGCCAGAGAAGAAAUAAAGUAUCGCCCCCGUGUGGAGAGGGAGGAUCCUGACGAGGUUUUGACCAUCUUGACUGAGCUUUAUGGCUGUGUACAUUCAUAUGUGACCCUGCAGCAAUCUUUCUUCUCCAGGAAGCAGCAGGACGGGGAGACAUUGUUAGAGUUUUCCUUGGCUCUAAUGGCCCUGAUGGAGUGUGUCAAGCAGUCAGCACCUGAUGCUCUGCCUAAUGCAGAAAUCCUUCUUCGCGACCAGUUCGUGGAGCAUGUGCUUGAUGGUGCCCUUCGCAGGGAAUUGAAGCAGUUCAUUCGUCGCGACCCCACUGCUUCUCUGCUUGACACACGUGGAGAGGCCAUUAGAUGGGAGAGGGAGGGCUCUCCAAGGGGUGUUAGGGAACGUAGCCACUCUCUUCCUUUGGCCCACGGUUUACAGUAUGGAGUGCAGGGUAGUUCUCGCCCCGCCCCUCUUGUCUCACCCCAUGACUCAGAGUUGAGCGAAGUGAAGGCUCUCUUGAAACGUCAACAAGGACAGCUUGACCAACUGGCCCAGACCAUGGCUUCUUUGCAGGCUCUUCCUUUUCCACCUCGGCCCCCUCGCAAUGGGCCUUUGAUCUGCAGAAGAUGUCAACAGCCAGUUCAUUAUGCCAGUGAUUGUGAUGGGGAGCGAGUCCCCCCUCGUCCCCGUGCUGGUUCUUUGACUGGUCGACCUACUACUGGGGCUGGAUUUUCCCGCCCUGCAUUUCAGCCGGAAAACUGA
rnacentral:lncRNA from 1 species